rnacentral:rRNA from 1 species
AACCCUUGUCCUUAGUUACCAGCACGGUUAUGGUGGGCACGUCUAAGGAGACUGCCGGUGACAAACCGGAGGAAGUGGGGAUGACGUCAAGUCAUCAUGGCCCUUACGGCCUGGGCUACACACGUGCUACAAUGGUCGGUACAAAGGGUUGCCAAGCCGCGAGGUGGAGCUAAUCCCAUAAAACCGAUCGUAGUCCGGAUCGCAGUCUGCAACUCGACUGCGUGAAGUCGGAAUCGCUAGUAAUCGUGAAUCAGAAUGUCACGGUGAAUACGUUCCCGGGCCUU